CCUGAUUUCAAAUUAUAUUGUAAAGCUAUAGUAAUCAAAACAGUAUGGUAUUGGCAUAGAAGCAGACACAUAGACCAAUGGAACAGAAUAGAAAGCCAAGAAACAAAUCCACACAUAUAUGAUCAACAAAUCUUCAACAAAGGCACUAAAAACACAUCAUGGGGAAAUAUAGUCCAUUCAAUAAAUCGUAUUUUAAACAUUGAAUAUCCAAAUACAAAAUAAUGAAAUUGGACCUUUAUCCUAUACCAUACACAAAAAUCAACUCAAAAUCGAUUAAAAACUUAAACAUAAGACCUAAAAUUGUAAAAUUACUAGAAUAAGAAAUAAUGUCUAUGGCAUUGGUCUUGGCAAUAACUUUUUUGGCUGUAACACCAAAAGCACAUGCAACAAAGUAAAAAUAAACAAGUCAGACUACAUUAAAUUAAAAAGUUUCAAAGCCAGGCAUGGUGGCCCAUGCCUCUAAUCCUAACACUUUGGGAGGUCCCAAGGUGGGCAAGAUGGCUUGAGCCCAGGAGUUUUAGACCAGCCUGGGCAACAGGGUGAAACUCCAUCUCUACUAAAAAUACAAAAACUGAGGUGGGAGGAUCACCUGAUCCUGGGGAGGUCAAGGCUGUGGUGAGACAUGAUCACACCACUGCACUCCAGCCUGGGUGACAGAGUGAGACACUGUUUCAAAAAAUAAAAUAAAAAAAUUAUCUGCCCAGCAAAGGAAAUAAUCGACAAAACGAAAAGGCAACCUGCAGAAUAGGAGAAAAUAUUUGCAAACCAUAUUUCUCAUAAGGGGUUAAUAUCCAAAAUAUAUAAGGAACUCAUACAAGUCAAUAGCAAAAAUACAAGUAAACUGUAUUUUGAAAAAUGGACCAAGGAGCUGAAUAGACAUCUCUCCAAGGAAGACAUACAAAUGGCCAACAUAUAUCUGAAAAGGUACUUAACAUCAUUAAUCAUAAGGGAAAUGCAAAUCAAAACCACAAUGUAAUAUCACACAUGUUAUUAAUAGGAAUAAUAUUAUCCAAAACUUAAAAGAUAAUGUGUUGGCAAGGAGGUAUUCUUGUACACUGUUUAUGGGAAUGUAAAUUAGUAAGCCAUUAUGUAAAACAGUAUGGAGAUCCUCAUAAAAGUAAAAAUAGAACUACUGUAUGAUCCAGCAUUCCCACUUCUGGUUAUAUAUCCAAAGGAAAUUAAAUCAGUAUGCCAAACAGACAUCUGCACUCCCAUUCAUUCCCAUUGCACCAUUAUUCACAAUAGAUAAGUUAUGGAACAACCUAAGUGCCCACGGACAGAUGAAUGAAGAAAGAAAAUUAUAUAUAUAUACAUAUAUAUAUAUAAUAUAUAUAUAUACAUAUAUAUAUAUAAUAUAAUAUAUAUAUAUAUCUUAGCCAUAUAAAGAGGGAGCUCCUUCCAUUUACAUAAACAUGGAUGAAACUUCAGAGCACGUUGAAAUAAGCAAACUAAGUGAAAUAAGCCAGAUGAAAAAAGAAAAAAAUGCUACAUGACAUCCUUUGUAUAAAAAGAAUCUUAAAAAGUUGAACUAAUGGAAACAGAGAGUUGAAUGGUGGUUACCAGGGUCUAGGGGGUGAGGUAACGUGGAGCUGUAAAAAAAAUUAUUUUAAUUUUUCACCUUUAUAUACCAUUUCGGUUGUUCGUAGUAAUUAUGUUACCUUAAAAAAAUAAAAUGUGCACUUUAGAUGGGAAGAUGUUGUUAGAACAUAAUUUUGCUGAUUUUUUUCUGAUAUGAUUGUACUGGUCAAACUGCCCCUAUAACUUGAGGAAUUCCUUUUUGAGCAGGCAAAAUACAGAUUGUUCAACAGACGAAAAGGAGGAAUUAGUAGGGCAAUCUUCUAUAGCCUAAUAGGCAAGGUUGUGAAUCAUACUUUGCUCAGAGUCUAUUUUCUUUCUUUCAUUUUGUCUACUGAUGAGAAUAAAUUACUCAUUAGGUUUCUACAAAACAUGUAGAGCAACUCCAUUUCAGAGAUGCUCAAAUAAUACAGGCCUAAGUGGCUCAUAAUGUUUUUCUGGUAAUGAGGUAUGAUGGAAUGAGGCACUGUAGAAAGAUUGCUCCUUUCCCAGACAUCACUUGCAUACCAGGGGCUCUGCCCCUCAUUGUCCAGCUACACUAGGCUAAUUAAUAUUUUAGAGAUACCCAGUGCUAUUUCAUGUGCCUUUCAUGUGAAGCUCUAUGCCUUCACUUAUACUAUUCUGUUCUGUUUUGUUUUAUGUGACACAGAGCGUCUACACUUCCCUUCUGGCUGUUGAAUUCCUACUCAUCUUUUAAGACUCCACUGAAACAUUAACUCUUCUUUGAAAAUGUUUAAAUUUCCCUAAUCAAAAAUUUUUCCUCCAUUGUAUUUUUUACAUCACAGCAUUUAUUGCAAUCUAAGUGUGAUGCUUGCAUGUCUAUCUACCACUUUACACUGAGAGUUUGUAGAAAGAUCAUGCAAAUUCCGCUUUUAGUACAGUUAGCCUUGCAGGUGACUCCAAGGAACUUUGAAGCUCUCUUUACCAAAACUUCCCUAAGAACAGCAACAUGACUUGUUUAUUUAGUGUCCUGCUACACACACACACAGACACAGACACACACACACGCACACAGAAACAAUAGGGUAGUGUUUGUUCUGUGUAUAUCUGGCACUAAAUAUGUUGGUAAAUAUAUUGGUGGUGUAUUUUGAAACGUUCUUAAGACCCAUGAAAGUCAAAUAUUGUUCAAGCUGUUUUAUUCAGCUGUUUUACAUUAAGAAGAAAACUAUAGUAUAGCCAGACUUGGAGAACUAAUUCAUUCUGGUUUUGAAAUUUUCGAGGAAGAAAAUAACACUUGGAUGGUAAUCAUCCAGUUUGUCCCAGGGUAUUAGUGACAGAGAGGUUUCCAUAUGUGAAGAACAUAAAACUGAAUAGUUACUUGCAAUUGGAGUUCCACUUUAUUAAUCGCAGUAAGGAAAGAAAAAUUCUCUGUUACUAAACCCCAGAAUAUCUUUUUCUACAAAAUUGACACAGAGCUGAGAUUUUACUCAAUCAUUAUCCCAUACGUUUCUCUUACUCUAAUUGCUAACUUUACACAGCAUUAAAAACAAAUUAUUAAGAGCGUACACAUUAUUACAGUACAAAAUAUGUAGAUAUGCUAACAUGUUGUAGGGCAAACCUGGGCAAUACUAUUUAGUGUGUGUGUCAUAGCUGAAAGGAUAGCUUCUGAAGCCAGAGAGCCACAUGGAUUUUGAACUUGACUGCUCCAUUCUCCCAACUGAAUAGACAUAUGAUCAACCUCCCAGAGGAAGACAGCAGCUCUGAGUUCUUUUGGAGGCCCAUCUAGUGUGUGUGUGCCUGUGUGUGUGUGUGUGUGUGUGUGUGUGUGCGCGUGUGUGUGUGUGUGUGUGUGAAGUGUUUGUACAAAAGAGAAAUAGGCAGUGUUUGUAACAAAAACUAAUAUAAAAUGAGAAACUGAAUUGACAUUUGGUUAGUUUACAAUUCUAAAACUGAAAAUCAUCCACAUUGUGUGUUCUAGAAAGACUUCCUGCAUUGUGACAGAAUUGCAACUGUUACAAACUUCUUCCAGUAUGCCCACAUAGAAAUUGGAAAAUCCCCAAAAUGAUGCCAUGUAUUAUACUUGUCUGCAUUCUUUAUUACGGUAAAUGUGAUGAGAAAUACAAGAUACUUGUACUCAUGUGAUAUUAGCAAAAGGGUUCAUUAAUUUGUCAUAGAUUAUUGUUCUCUGUGCAACAAAUUCAAACCAACCUCUAAAGAGUAACAGUGUUUAAAGAUUACAAAGGCCCAGAAAAUGUGAUGGUUCAUGAAAGAGUAACUUCCAAAAUUCCUCUAAGCUGGGAUUUUUUUUCAUUCUCUCUCUCUCUGUUUCUUGGAGAUAAAGAGCAGUCCAGAAUUAGAGACAUGUUCUUUUCAGUAUACUAUUACUUGUAGCAUUCUCAAUCGUGUGAAACCAUGAGACCACAUCUUUGUGGACAGAGCAAUAAAAGUUAUGAAAAGCUGUCUUUGUAAAUAUGGUUAAGAAUUUGAAGGGUACUAGUGGCCUGACCUAGCUAUACUUUGCUAAUUGUUUUAUAAUUGGAAAUGGUCAUCUAUUAUACCACUGCCAUAUCCCUGUACAGAUUUUUGUACUGACAAUCACAGCCCUGCUGUAAUCAAUUUCUAAAGUGAGAAAAUGGCUUUGAAUAGAGGUUGAAAGGAUUUUCAGAAACAAUAGAAAAAAGCGUAGAUUGUCUUGCAGAGAUUGUUAAAGACUCUGCCAGUGAAGGCACAUUUCAAUUUUACCCAUGAAUGACAUCGCAUCUAAAUGAGGCUUCUAAGACACAUUCGUAUGAAAUUUGUUGAAAAUGGUUAUCAGUUCUGAUCCCACCACCCCUUAUCCACAGCAUAGUUAUGGUCAGCUGAUGUAGAUGAAGAGAUAUUCAUUUUCCCUCAUAUGUUCAUUUGGACAAUGGAUGCUUGGUAAAGUUAAAUCCAUGUAGCUAAGGUCUUUGAAAAACUCUUCGGUGAGCUUGACUGGCUUAAAACUGGAACAAAUGUACUGGUUAGGGAGGGGAGGAGUGCCACAGAUCACUUCCCUCUCAGUCCUUUAAGGAUUCCAUGGCAAUGAGCAUGUCCUCUCUUUGGAUACAAACAAAACUCCUGGGAGGGGGAAUUGGAGCCUGUUUUGCUUUUAAAAAGUUGCAAAAAGCCUGAAGAAAGUGUUGUUUUCUUUUCCAUAUUCAUUCUCAGGCUAAAUACAGUAUAAUGAUUGAAUACACGUUCACAGAUGGGGUGGAAAACUGACAUUAAGUGCCAUGCCAUAGAACACUGACAUUAAGUGCUGUGGCAUAGAACAGUAGGUAUCAGAUUCAGGAGAUUCCCAGGCCAAGCUUAAAACAAAAGAAGCAUAUAAAACACCACAGGUGAUUCAGGUACACAUAAAAAGCUUGAGGACUACCACUCUACUGCAAUGUUAAUAGACGCUCCAUGAAAAUGUGGCUUUGUGGCCCAAUAAGUUUGUCUCAGCAUUUGUAAAAGUUAAACAGAUUUCUUUAACACAAGACUUUUCAGAAAUUAAUUUGCUAAUGCACGCUAAUCCUGAAGAAAGGAAUAGUGUAUGCCAGUGUGAUAUGGUUUGGCUCUGUGUCCCCACCUAAAUCUCAUUUAGAGUUGUAAUCCCAAUGUGUUGAGGGAGGGACCUGGUGGGAGGUGAUUGGAUCCUCGGGGCGGUUUCCCCAUGCUGUCUCAUAUAGUGAGGAAGUUCUCACUAAAUCUGUUUGAUAAGUGGCGCUUUCCCAUUCUCUCUCCUGCUGCCACGUGGAAAAGGUCCUUGCUUCCCCUUCAUCUUCUGCCAUGAUGGUAAGUUUCCUGAGGCCUCCCCAGCCAUGCAGAACUGUGAGUCAAUUAAACCUCUUUCCUUUAUAAAUUACCCAGUCUCAGGUAGUAUCUUUAUAGCAGCGUGAGAAUGAACUAAUACCAGUGGUUCUCAAAGUCCCGAGGAUCAACAGCCUCAGCAUCACCUGGAAACUUGUUAGAAAUGCCAAGUUUUGGGCCCACACAAGACUCACUCAAUCAGAAACUCUGAAGGUGAAGUCCAGUGAUCUGAGUCUUACAAGCCUUCCAGGUGAUUCUGAUGUGAGCUAAUAUCUGAGACCCAAUAGUAUUUGAAGUGUUUCCCACAACUAUUUGACUAGAGUCUUUUUUUCUUUCAUCAGUUAUGUGGCAGGACUAGUAUUUUCUGCCAGGAGGAAUGCUACUAAAGGAUGUGCAUGAGGGGAUGGGGUGGGAAAGGGUGUGUGUGUAUGUGUGUGUGUAAUGAAGAUGUGUGAAAGUAUUGAUAUCAUCACUUGUAGGAAGGUUUGAGGACUAUUUAUUUACUUAUUAAUUUAUUUUAACACCACUGUCUGUUUAAAGCAACUUUAAGGCAGCUCAAAAAGAAUGCUGGGGGUAAAGGAUUCUUCCUGGGCAUUUUGACUCCAUCCUAUUAACGCAGGCAUCCCUGAGACCCACAUAGUGCUAAUUUGCUUACUACCAGCAGACCUACACUAUUUCUGAACAACAGAAAAAGCAAGACCAGCAACUGAAGUAGUCAGUGACCAAACUUUAAAGUUCUUAGAGAAAGAGGGAGACAAUGCACUACUUUUCCCUACUGAUUGAAAAUUAGUAAGAGUUAAUAGGGAGAGGUGGUUGAGUGAGCAUCUCCUGAUUUUUAAAACAUGGUACAAAGGAUCCUGCAUCCAAGAUAGCUAGGCAGGUGAGCGUACCUCAUGUAGGUGUGUUUAGAGCUCAGGCAGGAUGAAGCAGGAUGAGGAGGACUUAUCUCAUGAAAUUACAAGGUGACUUAGACUGGGCUGGGGUGGGCAGGGAUAGGAGCUCAUGCUGAAUCUGGUCCAAACAUCUUAGAAAUGAGGAGUCUCCCCUCCUUGCAAAAGCAGGCUGUUUGGGGCCCCAGUAAUUUUAUUUGCAGAUGCUCUGAAAAGCACUAGUCAACUACGUUUUAUGUAUUUCACAAUUCUUCCCUCCAUAUACAGAUGAUCCUUCACUUACGAUGGGGGUCACAUACCAAUAAACCCAUCUUAAGUUGAAAAUGCAUUUAAUACACCUAACCUAGCAAACAUCAUAGCUUAGCCUAGCCUACUUUAAAUGUGCUUAGAACGCUUAUAUUAGCUUACAGUUGGACAAAAUCAUGUACUACAAAGCAAAUUUUGUAAUUAAAAAGUGUUGAAUAGCUCAUGUCAUUUAUUGAAUAGUGUACUGGAAAUAAAAAGCAAAAUGGUUGUAUGGUAAAGUAUGAGUUCUACUAAAUGCCUAUUGCUUCUGUACCACUGUAAAGCCCCCGAAAAAAUGUAAGUUGAACUACUGUAAGUCAGAGACCAUCUGUAUUGACUGUUCUCAAAGUGUUCAUUGCCAGACAAUGCAGCUUUGGGGAGCUAGAGAAAAGUCAUCAACAUUUAAAAAAAUUUACAUUUUCCUUCAGUUCUCAAAGGUAGAAAGGACACUAUUUAGUCCUGUGUAUUCCCUCUAGAGAGGAGAGAAAUAAGCAACAGAGAGGGGAAAUGACACUGUGAGUGGCAGAGAAAAU
rnacentral:lncRNA from 10 species